GCAAACUUGGUCAUUUAGAGGAAGUAAAAGUCGUAACAAGGUUUCCGUAGGUGAACCUGCGGAAGGAUCAUUGUCUACACCGCGCUUGUUCGCGGUCGGGGGGCUCUCCUCCGGGGGAGCCCUGUCUGAACCCUCUGUCAUUGUCGCACCUCGCGUUUCCUCGGCGGGUCCGCCCGCCAACGAGGACCCUAAAUUAAACCCAUUGCAGUGUCUGCAGUAAACGUCUCACAAACAAUGGAAAUUAAAACUUUCAACAACGGAUCUCUUGGUUCUGGCAUCGAUGAAGAACGCAGC
rnacentral:misc_RNA from 1 species